GCCAGGCAUGGUGGCACAUGCCUGUAAUCCCAGCAGCUUGGGAGGCUGAGGCAGGAUUAUAAAUUCAAAACUAGCCUCAGCAAUUUAGUGAGGCCCUAAGCAACUCAGCAAGACUCUGUCUCUA
rnacentral:sRNA from 1 species